rnacentral:ncRNA from 1 species
UGUUACGUCCACUGCCCUUAAUUUGUACACACCCGCCCGUCGCUACUCGCUACUACCGAUUGAAUGGUUUAGCAAGGGUCCUCGGAUUGGUGCCGACUAUGGUGGCAACACUAGUCGGAUACUGAAAAGAAGAUCAAACUUGAUCAUUUAGAGGAAAGUAAAAGUCGUAACAAGGUUUCCGUAGGUGAACCUGCGGAAGGAUCAUUA